GCCGCUGUAGCUCAACUGGCAGAGCGUCUGAUUUGUAAUCAGGAGGUUAGGGGUUCGACUCCCCUCGGCGGCUCCA
rnacentral:tRNA from 1 species